rnacentral:rRNA from 1 species
GAUGAACGCUAGCGGCAGGCUUAACACAUGCAAGUCGAGGGGUAUAUGCCUUCGGGCAUAGAGACCGGCGCACGGGUGCGUAACGCGUAUGCAAUCUGCCUUCCACAAAGGAAUAGCCCAGAGAAAUUUGGAUUAAUGCCUUAUAGCAUCACGAGAUGGCAUCAUCAUGUGAUUAAAGAUUUAUCAGUGGAAGAUGAGCAUGCGUCCCAUUAGCUAGUUGGAGUGGUAACGGCACACCAAGGCGAUGAUGGGUAGGGGUCCUGGGAGGGAGAUCCCCCACACUGGUACUGAGACACGGACCAGACUCCUACGGGAGGCAGCAGUGAGGAAUAUUGGUCAAUGGGCGCAAGCCUGAACCAGCCAUGCCGCGUGCAGGAUGAAGCAUCUAUGGUGUGUAAACUGCUUUUAUACAGGAAGAAACACUCCCUCGUGAGGGAGCUUGACGGUACUGUAGGAAUAAGGAUCGGCUAACUCCGUGCCAGCAGCCGCCGUAA